AUCCCAUGGUGAGGGCAAUUUUAAUCAUCAUAUUGAAUCGUUCAAACGCUUCAUGGAACAUCUCACCAUGUUGUUGUUGGAAGCUCCUCAACCCCUUUCUAGCAU
rnacentral:snoRNA from 1 species